rnacentral:rRNA from 1 species
UACAGAGGUCCCAAGCGUUGUUCGGAUUCACUGGGCGUAAAGGGUGCGUAGGUGGCCAGGUAAGUUUGGUGUGAAAGCUCGGAGCUUAACUCCGAAAAGUCAUUGAAUACUAUCUGGCUGGAGGGUCGGAGGGGAGACUGGAAUUCUCGGUGUAGCAGUGAAAUGCGUAGAUAUCGAGAGGAACACCAGUGGCGAAGGCGAGUCUCUGGACGACACCUGACACUGAGGCACGAAAGCUAGGGGAGCAAACAGG